rnacentral:rRNA from 1 species
AUUGAACGCUGGCGGUAGGCCUAACACAUGCAAGUCGAACGGCAGCACAGUAAGAGCUUGCUCUUACGGGUGGCGAGUGGCGGACGGGUGAGGAAUACAUCGGAAUCUACUUUUUCGUGGGGGAUAACGUAGGGAAACUUACGCUAAUACCGCAUACGACCUACGGGUGAAAGCAGGGGAUCUUCGGACCUUGCGCGAUUGAAUGAGGCGAUGUCGGAUUAGCUAGUUGGCGGGGUAAAGGCCCACCAAGGCGACGAUCCGUAGCUGGUCUGAGAGGAUGAUCAGCCACACUGGAACUGAGACACGGUCCAGACUCCUACGGGAGGCAGCAGUGGGGAAUAUUGGACAAUGGGCGCAAGCCUGAUCCAGCCAUGCCGCGUGGGUGAAGAAGGCCUUCGGGUUGUAAAGCCCUUUUGUUGGGAAAGAAAAGCAGCAGGUUAAUACCCCGCUGUUCUGACGGUACCCAAAGAAUAAGCACCGGCUAACUUCGUG